rnacentral:rRNA from 1 species
ACAAUUAAAACUUUUAACAACGGAUCUGUUGGCUCUAGCAUCGAUGAAGAACGCAGCGAAACGCGAUAUGUAGUGUGAAUUGCAGAAUUCAGUGAAUCUUCGAAUCUUUGAACGCACAUGGCGCCUUCCAGUAUCCUGGGAGGCAUGCCUGUCCGAGC